rnacentral:siRNA from 1 species
CAUAUGCUUGUCUCAAAGAUU